rnacentral:rRNA from 1 species
UAGMGUAUAUUAAAGUUGUUGCAGUUAAAAAGCUCGUAGUUGAACUUCAGACCUGGUCGGGCGGUCCGCUUAACGGCGUGUACUGUCUGACUGGGCCUUACCUCUUGGUGAGCCGGCGUGCCCUUUAUUGGCGUGCGUCGGGGAACCAGGACUUUUACCUUGAGAAAAUUAGAGUGUUCAAAGCAGGCUUAUGCUCGAAUACAUUAGCAUGGAAUAAUAAAAUAGGACGUGCGGUUCUAUUUUGUUGGUUUUUAGAAUCGCCGUAAUGAUUAAUAGGGAUAGUUGGGGGCAUUGGUAUUGAGUCGCUAGAGGUGAAAUUCUUGGAUUGACUCMMGACCAACUACU